rnacentral:rRNA from 1 species
AUGGGAUGCACCUUAUCAGGAUGCAGAUCUAGAUCACAAGUAAGCAGUGAUGCACGAGACAGCUCUAUCUCUUUUCACAAGUACAGAUGGCCAUCAAAGAUUAGCAAAGCUAUACCAAAAAUAGGUUCACGUAAGAAAGUGCCUAUUACUUUGCGUAGGAAUGCCCGUUUUAGUUUACGAAAGAGUGCACGUAGAAUAACAAAAGGGGUUAUUCAUGUGAAAGCCAGUUUCAACAAUACCGAAAUCAUAACAUUAACAUUUCUAUAUUCGAAUUUGAGAUAUAUAUACCAGACCUGA